ACUGCUGACAGUGUUCUUUCUCGGCAGUUUCCAUGCCACAGAAUGUGCUGAAGUUGUCUGGCAGCUUCCAUGAUGAGGGUAAUCAGGCUGGCAGGCACCAGCCCUCAUGCACCUGCACUUCGCUCCCGCGCAGAGCAGUGGAUGGAUAGAGGGAGGGCUCCACCACAGCGCUUCACCCUGGUCCUCCCUCCCUCCCUCUCUCUCUGCUGGCUCAGGACUGAUUUCUUCCUGCGGAGAAGUGUGCAGCAAGGGACUUGGGCAGACAGGGUGAGAGGCAGAGUCUUUGCUUACCUGGAGGUUGCCUCCUAAUGUACUGGGCUCCUGGGAGUGCAUGAAGGCUUCUUAGAUGAAGAGUAAUGGGGAUGUCUUACACAGCAAGAUGAGAAAACACAGACCACUUGGCUCUCUAGCAAGGACCAGAAUUUGAGUCAAAACUAUAUGGAAGCAACAGCCCUCAAUUGCCUGCAUUUUCUUUCCUCUUCAAAACCACUUCUGCUCCAAAGACCAUGAACCUGAACUGAAGAAACGACUCUUUCCUGCUGGCAUGAGAUAAUUCAGUCUCCAUGAUGUCUUAAUCCUGGGCCUCCCUUAAUUGACUUCUAACUGUGCCGAACUGUGGCUGUGAGGAGUUGCAAUGUGGAUUGCAAUUUACAAGGCACUGGAAUCGUUUCUUGUCUUCAAAUUAGUCCUGAGCUGUACUCGAGAAAGAAAAAAAAGAGGGGGGGCGACCUUUACUCUUCUUGCUGUCUUGCCACCUCAAG